rnacentral:lncRNA from 1 species
AGAUGAUGAAAACGAAACUUCUAGAAGGAAGAAGCUUCACAAAGCUAGUAAAUGACUGGCCAAGACUCGAACUGGCCCACCCAGAGAGCCCGAAUUUGGUUCCCAGAACCUACAAAUUGAAUGGAUCAAAGCACCUGUAAUUCCAGCUUGUGUGGAUCUGACGUCCUUUUGUAGCUUCUUCCUUGGAGAUCUGGAUGCCUGCCUUCAGAAGUAGUUCUCCAAUACAAGAAAUGUGACAGUUAUAGCUCUAAUUUCUAUAAUCACCUUGUUUCAUUUUAAAUAUCUUCAAUAUUUUCAGCCAUUACGGUAGUGAAGUAAUACUAAAACACUUGCAUAUUUGCAUUAAGCACAGGGUGAAAAUCAUUGUAUGGAUUCUGGUGUUCUGCUGAGAUUCCAUGGAACACUGUAAAUCACUGGUACCCUUAGAGCUUUUGUGAUGUGUGCAGCAGAGGCAGGAAAAGUAGCCCAUACCUGUCAUCGAAGUGCCUGGAAAGCUGAGGCAGAGGGAUUGUUGUUAGUAUGAUGAUAUCCUGGGCUACAGAGUGAGACGCUGCUUCAAAAUAAUAAAAAUCAAAUAAUGGAAAU